rnacentral:tRNA from 1 species
GGGCCCAUAGCUCAACGGCAGAGCACCCGGCUCAUAACCGGAACGGUCUUGGUUCGAAUCCAGGUGGGCCCACCA